rnacentral:tRNA from 1 species
GGCGCAGUAGCCAAGUGGGAAGGCUGCGGUCUGCAAGACCGUUACGAGCGCGUUCGACUCGCGCCUGCGCCU